GUACGGGAGCAGCACAAGACUCCCGCCCUCCAUUCUGACCUGUUUGUCCCUCCUAACCCUCAGACCUCACACUUACAGACCAACCUUAAUCAGGACGUUCUGAUCUGCCCCAGACUUACUUUCCUCACCAGCACAAUGGGAUCAGCAUUGCCUGCCUCUCAGAGCUGUUGAUAUCCCUGGGAGGGCUGCUCUUUUCUGAAGACGCAGGAAGAGUGAACAGGAUGAGUAGUGCCUCCUCACUGCAUGGACAAGUGUGGCAUGGCACCAACCCUCACUCCCCGGUAGGAAGAAACUUAAGAGAUGGAAGGCUCAUUGUGGUGGGGAAAGUGUGGUGUUGGGAGAAGCCUCAAGGUGUUUGCUCACAUCCCUGGGUACCAGGAAGCAGAGACGGGGCAGCAAGUGGAGGCGGACCAUAAACAGAGACACAUGUCCUUCAGGGGCCAUUAGGGUGGAUAUCAACUGGAGUCUUCAUCAAAAGAGGGGACUUGAGCCCAGACUCCAUAUAGGAGGAUCAUUUGAAAACACAGGAAGGAGACAGCCAUCAAGCAGCCCAGGAGAGUCACCUUGGGACAUACCAAGCCUGCUGACACUUUGAUCUCCUACUUCAGCCUCCUACUGAUCUCCUACUUCAGCCUCCAGAAUUACACGAACAUAAAUCUCACUUGCUUACAUUAUCCUGAGGUGGAACCUACUCCAGUCAGCUCAAGAAAACUAUUGGACGGUAACACCAUGGUCAUCUCAUUUGCCGUGCCCCCCAGUCAUGGAACUUCAAUUCCCAUGGGGUCAGCCUAAGCAAACAGGAAGGGAAUUCUGGCUAGAGAGGGACUGAGUGUAGGUGACCCUGGGCAUAGGGCCAGAUGGGCUGUCAUAGCCAGACUGUCAGGCCCUGCCCUCAGGGAGCUCCUAAUCCCAUGGGGAGACAAGUACACUGUGAGGUAAGUACCUAUGAGUCACUCAGUAAUGAGACACACACAUAAGACGGGAGAGGUGAAAGUCCACUGUCCAGGAUGAUGUCACAGUGGAUUGCUUUGAAGGAUCAGCCUGGGGGCUGUGUAUAGUAGCAAGUGUGAGGACCAGAGUUCAAAUCCCCAGAACCCUUGUAGAAAGCCAGGCAUGAGCAUGUGUGCUUGUAACCCCAGGGUCUAAAAGAGAGAACGUUAUGGGUACUUAAUGUCCUUGUCUGGCUUCUGUGUGUGCCUACACAAGCACUCAUAACACUCAUAAACUCAGGUGAAUGAACUCACCCCCUAACAUGUAGCCCAUACCAUGUACAUGGAUGUAAGUUCACAUGUGUGUGUAUGUUUCACACACACACACACACACACACACACACACACACACACACACCCCAGAGAAAUGCAGAGUCAGCCUAGGCCCAGCAACUAGAGAAUGGAGGGAAGGGCAUCCCAGAGGAGGUGUACAUGUAUGCAUGUAUGUAAAAGGUCACAGGCAUGUGUGAUUACUAGGGAAGGUGGGCUAUGAUGCUGGAGACCGUGGUUGGAGCCCAAUCACCAUAGGUUGAGUUUAGGGAACCCCAGAAGGGACACUGUUCUUCAGACAGAGCUCUGGGGCAGCAAUGCUGCAGGCUAGUUGGGGACCGUAGGCAGGUAACUUAGUUUUCUGGGAUGUCAACAUUCUCUGGUGCAAACUAGUGAUGAUCACAGUACUUGCUUCGGAGGGUUGCUGUGAAGAUUAGUAACAGAAAGCUCUACAGCGUGCUUUGUCAUGUGGUUGGGCCUUGAUAGGCCUGCUCUUGCUUAGCUUGGAUUUCUUACCUGUCUUCCCCCCAGCGUGGCUGAAAUAUUCACUUCAUCAGCUUCUCUUACUGGGCAUGGAGUGGAGUUAGGUGAGUGGAGGAAGCCACUUGUCACCAACCGGAACUGAGAACGGAGAGUGUGGAGGCCCCUGGAGACACAUGAGAACCUCCCUGAAAGCAUUAGUGCAGGGUUCCGGGAUGCUUGGCUCUUAACACGUCACCCUCUGAGGCUUUAUAGGUUGGUCACACAUGCACCAGGGGAGGAACCAAAAAGAGGAUCUGGAAGAAUGAUGCGUUUUCUCAGUAAGAGCCCAAGGAGACGGCCAGGCAAAGGGAUGCUGUCUCUGGCUCUGGUGAGAAAAGUUGCAGUAAGGCGGCCCGGCCCGUCUUGUGCACGCCGCAUGCCUGCUGAUGGAAUGUUCUAGGCUUGAGUUAAAGACCUCCCUGAACUGUUUCUACACCCUGAUAAGCCCCGCCGCCGCCAACACAGCAAUCCAAAUCACACCAAACCAAACUGAAUUAGAAAAAAAAAACCCACGUUUCACGGAUAAAACGCUCCCGGAUGAUUUUCCAGCCCCCAAGAGAGGAGACGGAAAAGAGAGACCGGAAAACCACAAGUCUGUUUUCUGGAGGACAGGUCAAAUACCCCGUGGGAGUGGUCUUGAGCAUCUCUGAGGUGAGGGUGGGGGUGAUCAUUUGGUGGGCUUUCUGAGGUACAUCAGGGUUUGGAGAGAGAGAUGGAGGAGGGGGCUUGGGGUGGAACUUCCAUGAGAACAUUCCAGAUUCUUUGGGUGUGUGGGUACCACAGGCUGGGGUGAAGAUUCCACGAGAACACUCCCCCCCCAGUUUCUUUUGAUAAGGUUAAAAGAUGUAGACAAUGACCUUCCUUUCAUAACGCAAGCCUUCUUGCCCAAAUGCCAUGUGCCUUUAGUGCAUUUCCCCUGACCCCAUUGUCCGUCUGACUCUUCUUUGUCAUGCAUCAGCUUAGCUGUCACUUCUCCUCAACCUGGAGUCAGAUGCAGCUCUGGUCCUUCCCACAGCAGACUGGCCUGCGCCUGCCACCUGCCACUGGGUGUACUUGUUGAGGGUUGGACUGCUGUCCGGAUUGCUACCUCUGACCAAGGAGGUCCUCAGGUGCCUUGUGGGCGACCAUGCUCAGUAUCUGGUCCAGGCAGAGGGAAGCCCAGCAAGCUGAUGAAUGCCACCCGCAAGUUUAUAAGUUGUUUCUCAGAUGAUGGUCCCUGCCUCUUCCUCUUUCUUCUUCUUUUGGUUUUUAGAGCCUGGCUUUCUCUGUGUAGCCCUGGCUGUCCUUGAACUUGCUCUGGAGACCAAGCUGACCUCGAACUCACAAUGAUCUUUCUGCCUCUGCUUCCUGAGUGCAGCACUUAAAGGCGUCUGCUACCAGAGACCAGCUUAGGCAGGUGUGGGGAGACGUUCAGGACCCAGUGAGGAUCUGUGUAGUGUCAGGGAAGGGAGAGGAGGAGACAGACACAGUCUGAAUCGGGAUGGCUCCAGCGUGUUUAUCGAAAAAAAGAACACACUUCUUAUACUCUAUGGUAGCGCAUAGCAUUAAGAGGGAGGAAGGAGGCAAGUGAGCUGGGGUGUGGCUCGAGAUCAGUGGCUGGGGAAGCUAAGCAUUGACCUUGGCAAUAGGCUCCAGUUGUGUGUUAAUGGAAGGGCCCCAAGUUCUUCUUGCUAGAGAUAAGAACGUGUUUCCCUUUAUAGCAACCUGGAACUUUCUCCAACCGUCUGAGGGAUGGGGACUUGUCUAAAUGCCUGACCUUGAGGAAGCAGGCAUUCCAUCAUAGAAUAUUCCACUUUCUUAUAUGGCUUAGCUUAUCUGAAUAGUUAAAACUUAAAAGUGAGCAAAGAUGAAACUAGACAAGUAUUACUCUGAACCUGAGAACACUUUAAGGAUUUGUAAAUAUUAAUUAUCAAAUAUACCUUAUUUAUCAAGCAUAUGUUAAUUCAUCUAAAUUUUCUAGCAGCUCGGUGUGACUGUGUAUGGCAGCAGGCAGAGUUAUCACAUUAUAUGGUUCCAUAGUGGUGGAGCUUUUUUUCCAAGGAAUUAUUUUGUUUAGAGUGGCGGUCAUUGUAAACAUGUUCAUCCCUCAAAACCCCCACAAAACUUCCCAGAGGGAAAGGCCUAAUUGUUGUAAUCCAGGCACACCUGUCCCUGUCCCUUGGAGACCUGGCAAAGAGUGCCCACCCCUGCAUGCGCGGUAGGCAGUAACCUGGUUCCGUGCCCAGGGGCAAAAUGACCCUUUAAGACGCAAACUCCACACACUUCCUCCCUCUCUUUCUGCCCUGUCUCUGAGGAGGCAGACAGAUCUGUCUGUCUCUCUGUCUCUGUCUCCUCUCUCUCCCCACCUCUCUCCCUUCUUCCUGGUGUCGUGUUUGUCCCCCGCCAUGGGAUCUGCCUCGGUGUCACCUUGUGCUGUGUCCCUAACACUAACAGUGAGAAUCACUAAAGAUGAGAGCAGAAGGAAGCUGGAGAAUUGUGAUCCACAAAGUCCGAAACGGUUGUCACGUGGUCCGUGACACGCCCCCACCACUGCCUGGCUUUGGUGAUGCUUCUUAAAAUGAAUCUUAAGUUAGAUGCUGAAAAUGACUUACUCUUUGCAGGAGUUUGUGCGCUUAUGAGUCUAAAAUGAGCCCAGUCGUGCAAAUGGCUUUGUAUUCUUGUUAUUAUAGAAUAGAGAUCCACGGCAUGGAUUCUCAAGCUGGACUGAUGGAUUUGGAUUUCAUUUCCACACCCAGAGGCUGCAUGACUGUGGGUGAAUGAUGGGAUUUUUAUGUGCCUCGGUCUCCUCAUUUGUGAGGCAGAGGCAUUAAUAAACAUGACGGGUUGCUGUGAUGAUGAAAUUG